rnacentral:piRNA from 1 species
UUACUUUUUGAUUCGAGACAGGGUUUUGC